UACGAAGGGGGCUAGCGUUGCUCGGAAUCACUGGGCGUAAAGGGUGCGUAGGCGGGUCUUUAAGUCAGGGGUGAAAUCCUGGAGCUCAACUCCAGAACUGCCUUUGAUACUGAGAAGCUUGAGUCCGGGAGAGGUGAGUGGAAUUCCCAGUGUAGCGGUGAAAUGCGUAGAUAUUGGGAGGAACACCAGUGGCGAAGGCGGCUCACUGGACCGGUACUGACGCUGAUGCGCGAAAGCGUGGGGAGCAAACGGG
rnacentral:rRNA from 1 species